rnacentral:rRNA from 1 species
UACGUAGGGGGCAAGCGUUGUCCGGAAUCAUUGGGCGUAAAGAGCGUGUAGGCGGCCCGAUAAGUCCGCUGUGAAAGUCCAGGGCUCAACCCUGGAAUGCCGGUGGAUACUGUCGGGCUCGAAUCCGGAAGAGGUGAGUGGAAUUCCUGGUGUAGCGGUGGAAUGCGCAGAUAUCAGGAGGAACACCUAUAGCGAAGGCAGCUUGCUGGGACGUUACUGACGCUGAGGUGCGAAAGCGUGGGGAGCAAACAGG